GAACCGUACAAACGUUAUUCGGAAUCACUGGGCUUAAAGGGUGCGUAGGCGGCCUGGUAAGUUGGGUGUGAAAUCCCUCGGCUCAACCGAGGAACUGCGCUCAAUACUGCCAAGCUUGAGCGAGACAGAGGUGAGCGGAACUUGCGGUGGAGCGGUGAAAUGCGUUGAUAUCGCAAGGAACACCCGUGGCGAAAGCGGCUCACUGGGUCUCUUCUGACGCUGAGGCACGAAAGCUGGGGGGGAGCGAACGGGAUUAGAUACCCCGGUAGUCCUAGCUGUAAACGAUGAGCACUAGAUCGGAGGGUCCUCCAUAGCUUUCCGGUCGUAGCGAAAGUGUUAAGUGCUCCGCCUGGGAGUAUGGUCGCAAGGCUG
rnacentral:rRNA from 1 species